AUUUUAUACCAUCAUGUGAGGCUAGCUAUUGUUAGGAAGAGGUCAUUUAUUGCUGUUUACUUAAAACUCAGUCAUGAGACCCUUCAGAUGUGUAUCAGUGGGUCCUAUGCUUGGAGGAUGAUUGCUAAUGUAUAUCUUGGGGGCUAGAGAUAAAGGAAUUUUUCAGAGGAAUGUUUAUAUGUUAAAGUAGACUUCUAGGAUCCUGGGGGUGAGGGUAAUGUUAAACAAAGACUGCCUUUUGCUCU